CCCCCCAUCUCUAAAAUAUCUCCAAGCAAACUAAAGAAUCGCCCUCAAAGGUAAAAGUUCAGUUGCAAUUGUCAUCAGAAAAAAAUCCAAUAUCAAAUUUUUUUCCUAGAAAUCCUUAUGUGCCCGUCAUCUCCUUUUCCCCGUCCAUAUGAUUCUUGCGCCUCCCAAAAGGCUCUGCCAUUUGCAUCAAUGCCAAAACCUCUAAGCAGUACUAUAUGUCCUCUAUCCUCAUACUUUCUUCAAGGAGACUUUCAUAUUCAUCAAAAUCAUCUUCAACAUCAGGUUCAGGAUCAUGAUAAUCCUCAUACUUGUGCAAAGUGACUUCAAGAGCUCUGUAUCUUGGGACAUUUGCA